AUGACCUCAAAUCAGAUA
rnacentral:rRNA from 1 species